AGGAAAGAUGGUGGAAUGAGAUGGACAUCAUUACCCUAAGAACAUGGAUGAAGAUGCGAAUGGGGUGACUCUACUUUGUGUACAACCAGAGACAUGAAAAAUUGUGCUCUAUAUGUGUAAUAUAAAUUGAAUUGCAUUCUGCUGUCAUAUAUAUAUAUAUAUAUAUAUAUAUAAACAUAUUAGAAUAAAAAAAAUUAAAAAGAGAAAAAAACAACUCAAAAUGGAUAAAAGACUUAAUCAUAAGGUUUGCUACUCUAACACCUCUAGAAGAAAGCAUAAAGGAAAAGUUCCAUGAGCUUGGGUGGUAAUGUCUUGAAUAGGAUUCCCUAUUCAAAAAUUGGCCGAAUUGCAUCAAAUUAAAAACCUUCUGCACAUCAAGGGAAACCACAGAGUGAAGAGACAGCCCAUGUCUUGGGAGAGAAUAUCUGCAAAGCACAUGUCUGAUAUGGGGCCAAUAGCCCUAAUGUGUGAAGAACUAGGUAACUUGAUAGAAGGAAACAGGUAACUUGAUUUAAAGUUUUGAACAGAUCCUUCUCAAAGAAGAGAAAUGAAUAGCCAACGGAUCUAUAAAAAAUGAAUAGCCAACAUUUUUGAUCAUCAGGGAAAUGAGAAUUUUAAACAAGGAGAUAUCAGUCACAUCUUUAGCUUGGCUGUUAUUAGGAUGAUGGAUGUUCAUAAGCACUGGCAGAGAUAGGCAGAAAAUGAACCCUCAGACUCUGUUGGUGGGAAUGUAAAUUAGUGUCGCUAUUUUGAAGAAAUGGAAGGUCCUCCAAAACUAAAACCAAAACUCCUAUAUUAUCCAGCUCCCCACUUCUGGGCCAAACAUUGAAGCUGGCGUGUUCACUGAGACGCUGUUCCCAACAGCUAAGAUGUGGAAGCAGCCCAAGUGCCCGUGAAUGGAUGAUUCCUUGGAAAAAGGAAAUGUGGCAUUUGUACACUGGGGCAUGUUAUAGAUACUCACAAGUGAGAGACGUGACACAAGGAGAAAUCUGCAAAUUUGGGGUGCGUACUGGAUGUGGCACACCUCCGUGGAGCCUGGGCUUCUGAAAGCAGGAACUGUCCAUCCUCAAGGACAAGAUGGUUGGGCUGUGCUUUCCCCUGGUGAUUAAAUCCUACCUGGUCUCCAGGAAGAAGAGAGGGUCCCCAGGUUCCCUGGGGCUGUGCCUGAUGGGAGAGGAAGGGCUCAAGGAGGCCUACUGUCCAGGGCCGUGCAGGGGACAGCCACUAAGGAAUACUGAUGGGGACUCCAGGGGCUGCUCAAGAAAGUUCUCUCUUGGUGGCUCGAACGUGUAUUCACCAACUAACUGUUCCACUUGCUCCUCCACAUUUUCAUCAUCAUCUGGUCUCCAAACGUGAAAUACAUUGGUCACCCUUGAGCUGCUGCAGGGAACAAACAGGUGUGACUCUCUGUCCCCCUUCCCUGUGUGGGACCUUAGGAGGCUGAG
rnacentral:lncRNA from 1 species